AAUUAUGUGAAAUAAUUAUUAAAUUUCAUUUUAGUUUGAUAAAUUGAAAAGAAAGACAUUAUUGUUUGGGAGUUUGAAAAUAUACAUUUUUUAUGUGUUUGCACUUUGAAGAUUAAAAGUACAGAUUUACUUGAAAUGUUUAUGGAACACAGCCCUGUGUGGUUUGUGAGUGUGAAAUGGAAAAGCAGCUAAAUUUUCUAGUUUGUGUAUAUUCUUGUGGGGUUAUUUUUUAUUUUUAGAUUUCAAAAUGUACAAUCUGGUAAAAUAGGAGUAUUUUAUGUACAGUUAUGUAUUGGUGAAUUCAAACUUUAAAAUAGGAGUGUUUUAUGUACAGUUAUGUAUUGGUGAAUUCAAACUUUAAAAUAGGAGUGUUUUAUGUACAGUUAUGUAUUGGUGAAUUCAAACUUUAAAAUAGGAGUGUUUUAUGUACAUUUAUGUAUUGGUGAAUUCAAACUUUCAAAGCUACCUCUAGAGCUUAAAGUAUAAAUUUAAGUUCUGUUGCAAAAUGUAGAAUUUUUUAGCUUUAAAUUUUUACAUUUACUUUGUUCAUCAUACUGUUACUCAUAAAAGCAUUGAGUGCUCUCAUCGUCAUGGAUACUAAAUAGACUGGUCUCCCUUUAUGGAAGCACAUGUAUUUUGCAGAAUAAUCUAAUGUUAAAUUAUAUUAAAUUAUAUUGUGAAUGCUGUCACAUUUAUAGACACAAAACAUAAAAUUUACAAUUCAAGAUGUUGCAAGGUUGUCAACUACACUGUACCAUUGCAAAUUAAUAUUAAAACAAAUUAUUAAAAAUUAAAAGAUUUGUAAGUUUUCUUUCAAACCUUCUUAAUGUUGCACCGGACGCCACCUUCGUUGCGUAAUUUUCAAACUUUUUCUGAACUCUGCUCAGUUGAAAUCUUUUACAAAGGAGUUAAAAAAAUAAGAAGUCUCCGUUAUGGCUCAAACAACAUGAAAGCAGAUCAGGUCAGCUAAGCUAUCGGUGUCUCAUGUGAGCAUCGAUGGACCUGUGGCCCUUUUGUUUUGUCUCUUUUAUGUUCAGAUUUAGUCAGUGUACACGUGCUAUGGUUUAGCUCAGUGUUGUAUUCUAAAUUUAAGAACUGUAUUUGACAGAUUCUCGUGUAUGCAAUAAUUUAUUUUGAUGUAAGUUCUGUAUGGUAUUUAAAGUCAAUGUAAAACUCUGUUACUUAAUGUGCUUUUUUCUUGUUUUUUGUUUAUUAUUUUUUUACAUUUAUUGGAUCUGUUAAGUUAUAUGCAAACUGAGUGCUACGUCAUUUGCAUAAUAUUGUAUUUUGUUCAUUUGACCUAAAUGUUUAUGUUUGUGUCAUUAUAUUAUAUUACAAACUCAUGUCUCAAUCAGAAAACAAUUAUAGCAUGUAUGAAUUUGCACAUUUGCAUCACUGUUUAGAAAAUGUACAUGGCACUUUAUGUAAAUUGGUAAAAUCAAAACAGAAACAUAUGAUAUUUUUCUCAAACAAGUAGUUUAAGGUAUGCAAUUUAGAUAUUAGGUUCAGUUAUAAUUAGAAUUAUAUGAUUUGAAUUCUUGUGCUAACUGCAGAUCACUUUAUUGUUCAUAGGUCUUAUUAUAUAUCAGAUCCAUAUCAUGUUUAACUUUGCUUCAAAGGUUAUUCGGGUUUUUAACCAGGUUUUUAACCAGGUUUUCCGAAGGAAAAAACUGGUUAUUAGAUUGGCGAAUGAGGGCGGGCUGGCUGGCUGGCGGGCUGGCUGGCGGGCUGGCGGAACAAGCUUGUCCGGGCCAUAACUAUGUCGUUCAUUGUCAGAUUUUAAAAUCAUUUGGCAAAUUUGUUCACCAUCAUUGGACGGUGUGUCGCGCAAAAUAAUUACGUCGAUAUCUCGAAGGUCAAGGUCACACUUUGAGUUCAAAGGUAAAAAAUGGCCAUAAAUGAGCUUGUCCUGGCCAUAACUAUGUCAUUCAUUGUGAGAUUUUAAAAUCAUUUGGCACAUUUGUUCACCAUCAUGGGACGGUGUGUUGCACGAAAGAAUCACGUCAAUAUCUCCAAUGUCAAGGUCGCCACGACUAAAAAUAUAUUUUUUUAAAAAACAAACUUACAAAGGGGGUUAAUUUUUUUUUUCAUUUCAAAAAUUCAGUUUGAGUUUUCUCCCUUUAUCAGAUUUUUUUUCACAAUGAAAACCUGGUUUUGUGACAAUUUUGUCCCUUGUGUAAAUUAAUCUAGAAAAUGUAACCCAAGGAAUUGUGUACAAAGUUGCAUGUAAAACAUCUUUUUUGUUCAUUUAUUGUAUUUUUAUGCCCCCCUUCGAAGAAGAGGAGGUAUAUUGUUUUGCACAUGUCGGUCCGUCCGUCGGUAGGUCGGUCGGUCCGUCCACCAGAUGGUUUACGGAUGAUAACUCAAGAACGCUUAGGCCUAGGAUCAUGAAAAUUCAUAGGUACAUUGAUCAUGACUGGCAGAUGACCCCUAUUGAUUUUCAGGUCACUAGGUCAAAGGUCAAGGUCACAGUGACUCGAAAUAGUAAAAUGGUUUCCGGAUGAUAACCCAAGAAUGCUUACGCCCAAGACCAUGAAACUUCAUAGGUACAUUGAUCAUGACUAGCAAAUAACCCCUAUUGAUUUUCCGGUCACUAGGUCAAAGGUCAAGGUCACAGUGACUCUAAGCAGUAAAAUGGUUUCCGGAUGAUAACUCAAGAAUGCUUACGCCUUGGAUCAUGAAACUUCAUAGGAACAUUGAUCAUGACUGGCAGAUGAACCUUGUUGAUUUUCAGGUCACUAGGUCAAAGGUCAAGGUCACAGUGACUCGAAAUAGUAAAAUGGUUUCCAGAUGAUAACCCAAAAAUGCUUAAGCCUAGGAUCAUGAAACUUCAUAGGUACAUUGAUCAUGACUGGCAGAUGACCCCUAUUCAUUUUCAGGUCACUUGGUCAAAGGUCAAGGUCACAGUGACAAAAAACGUAUUCACACAAUGGCUGCCACUACAACUGACAGCCCAUAUGGGGGGCAUGCAUGUUUUACAAACAGCCCUUGUUGGAAAUCGACAUAGGACAAGAAUAACAAUGCACUGUAACUCCAAUAUAUCGCGGUCCGGUAUAUCGCGCUUUCCAAUAUAUAGUGAAUCAGCCGUGGACCCCAUUUUUUUCACCCACUAUAAUGUUCUUUGUAAUGAGACAUUCAUAAAUUUAGAUUGUUUGCCUUCUUUGUGUAUCACAUUCAUGCUUGUGUAAUGCAACAAACAAAACCCAACUUGCUCAACAUCAAAGAUAACAUAUGUGCGUCACCUUUCACAACGGUAUUGAAUUUGCUUUGAAGUGACAUUAUGCCAGCUGUCAACCACUUUCCUAUUGGUAAUUAAUUUGUAUCAUUUGAAAUUGCCAAACUAUGCUAAUCCAUACAUAUACAUGCAUGAAUGACCUGACAAGUUAUAUCGUGCGCCUGAUAUAUCAU